rnacentral:rRNA from 1 species
GGGAGCGUUCUGUAAGCCUGUGAAGGUGGCCUGUGAGGGUUGCUGGAGGUAUCAGAAGUGCGAAUGCUGACAUAAGUAACGAUAAAGCGGGUGAAAAGCCCGCUCGCCGGAAGACCAAGGGUUCCUGUCCAACGUUAAUCGGGGCAGGGUGAGUCGACCCCUAAGGCGAGGCCGAAAGGCGUAGUCGAUGGGAAACAGGUUAAUAUUCCUGUACUUGGUGUUACUGCGAAGGGGGGACGGAGAAGGCUAUGUUGGCCGGGCGACGGUUGUCCCGGUUUAAGCGUGUAGGCUGGUUUUCCAGGCAAAUCCGGAAAAUCAAGGCUGAGGCGUGAUGACGAGGCACUACGGUGCUGAAGCGACAAAUGCCCUGCUUCCAGGAAAAGCCUCUAAGCAUCAGGUAACAUCAAAUCGUACCCCAAACCGACACAGGUGGUCAGGUAGAGAAUACCAAGGCGCUUGAGAGAACUCGGGUGAAGGAACUAGGCAAAAUGGUGCCGUAACUUCGGGAGAAGGCACGCUGAUAUGUAGGUGAAGCGACUUGCUCGUGGAGCUGAAAUCAGUCGAAGAUACCAGCUGGCUGCAACUGUUUAUUAAAAACACAGCACUGUGCAAACACGAAAGUGGACGUAUACGGUGUGACGCCUGCCCGGUGCCGGAAGGUUAAUUGAUGGGGUUAGCGGUAACGCGAAGCUCUUGAUCGAAGCCCCGGUAAACGGCGGCCGUAACUAUAACGGUCCUAAGGUAGCGAAAUUCCUUGUCGGGUAAGUUCCGACCUGCACGAAUGGCGUAAUGAUGGCCAGGCUGUCUCCACCCGAGACUCAGUGAAAUUGAACUCGCUGUGAAGAUGCAGUGUACCCGCGGCAAGACGGAAAGACCCCGUGAACCUUUACUAUAGCUUGACACUGAACAUUGAGCCUUGAUGUGUAGGAUAGGUGGGAGGCUUUGAAGUGUGGACGCCAGUCUGCAUGGAGCCGACCUUGAAAUACCACCCUUUAAUGUUUGAUGUUCUAACGUGGGCCCCUUACCGGGGUUGCGGACAGUGUCUGGUGGGUAGUUUGACUGGGGCGGUCUCCUCCUAAAGAGUAACGGAGGAGCACGAAGGUUGGCUAAUCCUGGUCGGACAUCAGGAGGUUAGUGCAAUGGCAUAAGCCAGCUUGACUGCGAGCGUGACGGCGCGAGCAGGUGCGAAAGCAGGUCAUAGUGAUCCGGUGGUUCUGAAUGGAAGGGCCAUCGCUCAACGGAUAAAAGGUACUCCGGGGAUAACAGGCUGAUACCGCCCAAGAGUUCAUAUCGACGGCGGUGUUUGGCACCUCGAUGUCGGCUCAUCACAUCCUGGGGCUGAAGUAGGUCCCAAGGGUAUGGCUGUUCGCCAUUUAAAGUGGUACGCGAGCUGGGUUUAGAACGUCGUGAGACAGUUCGGUCCCUAUCUGCCGUGGGCGCUGGAGAACUGAGGGGGGCUGCUCCUAGUACGAGAGGACCGGAGUGGACGCAUCACUGGUGUUCGGGUUGUCAUGCCAAUGGCACUGCCCGGUAGCUAAAUGCGGAAGAGAUAAGUGCUGAAAGCAUCUAAGCACGAAACUUGCCCCGAGAUGAGUUCUCCCUGACUCCUUGAGAGUCCUGAAGGAACGUUGAAGACGACGACGUUGAUAGGCCGGGUGUGUAAGCGCAGCGAUGCGUUGAGCUAACCGGUACUAAUGAACCGUGAGGCUUAACCUU